rnacentral:rRNA from 1 species
GGCGAACGGGUGAGUAACACGUGAGUAAUCUGCCUCUGGCUUCGGGAUAGCCACCGGAAACGGUGAUUAAUACCGGAUAUGACAUCUUCACGCAUGUGAUGGGUGUGGAAAGUUUUUUCGGCCAGGGAUGUGCUCGCGGCCUAUCAGCUUGUUGGUGGGGUAAUGGCCUACCAAGGCUUCGACGGGUAGCCGGCCUGAGAGGGUGACCGGCCACACUGGGACUGAGACACGGCCCAGACUCCUACGGGAGGCAGCAGUGGGGAAUAUUGGACAAUGGGCGGAAGCCUGAUCCAGCAACGCCGCGUGAGGGAUGACGGCCUUCGGGUUGUAAACCUCUUUCAGCACAGACGAAGCGCAAGUGACGGUAUGUGCAGAAGAAGGACCGGCCAACUACGUGCCAGCAGCCGCGGUAAUACGUAGGGUCCGAGCGUUGUCCGGAAUUAUUGGGCGUAAAGGGCUCGUAGGCGGUUUGUCGCGUCGGGAGUGAAAACACCGGGCUUAACUCGGUGCUUGCUUUCGAUACGGGCAGACUAGAGGCAUUCAGGGGAGAACGGAAUUCCUGGUGUAGCGGUGAAAUGCGCAGAUAUCAGGAGGAACACCGGUGGCGAAGGCGGUUCUCUGGGAAUGUCCUGACGCUGAGGAGCGAAAG